UCUAAGGUUUCCAGAGUAAAGCUGAUCUGCUCUGGGUAAGUCGGGGCCUAAGGAGAGGUCGCAAGACGUAUCCGAUGGACAACAGGUUUAGAUUCCUGUACCGCAUAUAAACAGAACUGUGGGGACGCAUGUGGAAAGCAUAAGCCGGGAAUGGAAAGACCGGUACAAGCGAGGUAGGUGUGUGACAGGCAAAUCCGUCACAUAAGCCGAAGACGUGAUGUGGAGCGAAAUUAAGUAGUGAAGUAUGUGAGCCAUGUGCCGAGAAAAGCCGCUAUUGUUUUAUAUGUGCCCGUACCGUAAACCGACACAGGUGGAUGAGGAGAGAAUCCUAAGGCCGACGGAAGAAGCAUUGUUAAGGAAUUCGGCAAAAUGACCCCGUAACUUCGGGAGAAGGGGUGCCCACUGAAUGGUGGGCCGCAGAGAAUAGGCUCAAGCAACUGUUUAGCAAAAACACAGGUCUAUGCGAAACCGAAAGGUGAAGUAUAUGGGCUGACGCCUGCCCGGUGCUGGAAGGUUAAGAGGAGAGGUUAGCGCAAGCGAAGCUUUGAAUUUAAGCCCCAGUGAACGGCGGCCGUAACGAUAACGGUCCUAAGGUAGCGAAAUUCCUUGUCGGGUAAGUUCCGACCCGCACGAAAGGCGUAAUGAUUUGAGCACUGUCUCGACAAUGCAUCCGGUGAAAUUGAAGUACCAGUGAAGAUGCUGGUUACCCGCGCCAGGACGGAAAGACCCCAUGGAGCUUUACUCCAGUUUGAUACUGGGAUUCGGUACUGCACGUACAAGAUAGGUGGGAGACUGAGAACUAUGGACGCCAGUCUGUAGGGAGUCGCUGUUGGGAUACCACCCCUGUAGUACUGGGUUUCUAACCAUCUGCCGUGAUCCGGCAGUGGGACAAUGUCAGGCGGGGAGUUUGACUGGGGCGGUCGCCUCCGAAAGGGUAUCGGAGGCGCUCAAAGGUUCCCUCAGAAUGGUCGGAAACCAUUUGAAGAGUGCAAAGGCAGAAGGGAGCUUGACUGCGACACCGACGGGUGGAGCAGGUACGAAAGUAGGACUUAGUGAUCCGGUGGUAUAAAGUGGGAUUGCCAUCGCUCAACGGAUAAAAGCUACCCUGGGAUAACAGGCUUAUCACUCCCAAGAGUUCACAUCGACGGAGUGGUUUGGCACCUCGAUGUCGGCUCAUCGCAUCCUGGGGCUGUAGCAGGUCCCAAGGGUUGGGCUGUUCGCCCAUUAAAGCGGUACGCGAGCUGGGUUCAGAACGUCGUGAGACAGUUCGGUCCCUAUCCGGCGCGGGCGGAGGAUAUUUGAGAGGAGCUGUCCUUAGUACGAGAGGACCGGGAUGGACGGACCACUGGUGUAUCUGUUGUCGACCAACGGCAUGGCAGAGUAGCCAAGUCUGGAAGGGAUAAACGCUGAAGGCAUCUAAGCGUGAAGCCCCCCUCAAGAUGAGAUAUCCCUCCUUCGGGAGUAAGACCCCUUGAAGACUACAAGGUAGAUAGGGCAGAGGUGGAAGUGUGGCAACACAUGGAGCUGACUGUUACUAAUAGGUCGAGGGCUUGAUU
rnacentral:rRNA from 1 species